AAAAAAAAAUGGGUUAAAAUUUGGGUACUUUUUCCCUGGUUUGGGUACCUUGCAAUUGAGUUAAAAAAAAUCGCCCUUGUCAGAUCUUGGGCACAUAAGUGGACAACAUUCGGGCCAAAUAUAAAGUCGAUAGCUUCAAAACUACGGCCUGGAGGUUCCCGGGCGGAAGAAUCUCGAGUUGAAGUAUAGUCUAAACUGUAGUGGACGAACUGAGGGACGGGAACAGCAGUUUCUAGUGUUGUCAAACUGUGCAUUAUGACUGUAGGACGUACUGCACAUCCUGAGUACCCAUAAGAGACAGUCUUACUGCAGAUGCUAUACAAGCAGCACAUAGACUUCUAUCUCAGGAAUGCGACUAUAGUUCCGACAACAGUUGAGGUGCAGUGGAUUUGCAAUCGACAGGCACCCUGCCCCUUAUAGUCACCGACUAUGACGCGCUCCGCAAUCUCAACUCACUCGCAUUUGCAGCUGCCGACUGCUCUGAUCUUUGUAACUGUACACAUCAUCUACAGCUCGUUACAAAUGCAGUUGGAAACUGCUGCGCCCGUUGCGAUUGUACAAAUCAGCUGCAAGAGUACUUUCCACUCGUUGGCAACUACAGCUGGGAACUGUUUCGUGCUGCUGCCGCAGAUCCCAUUUCGCAAUGCAAUGCACAUUCCCGAAGCGACGCUUGGCGCCUGCAGCGCGCUGGGUAGGCAGACCCGCCAAACAGCUGCGAGAAGCAGGCGGCCCGCCCGCCCAGGCUGAUCGCGGUAGGGAACGCCUGGGCGCUUCUCCCGUAGGUGCGUGCAAUCCCUGCAACGGCGGGGCCAGCUUACUGCCCACUGUAAAGUUGAGCCUUUUCUGUGAGAGUGUAAGAUCUCGAUGUAGGGACGCUGUGAGGUCGUCUGCAACUGAGGCCUCGGGUGGAAAAUCAACGCGCCCUACCUGAAUUCCCUCCCAGCCCCCUUCCCCUUCGCCUCUCCUAAUCUCGCAGCCCAACUCCAAGUCAUCCACAGGUUUUCUCGGUUUUCUCACUGGCGUUUGUCAUCAGCCAACGGUCGCGACAAGACCGACCUCGCAUUAUUAGAUAGGUGCGUCACUGCCUUUCGGAGUCCAGAUCCCCCAAAAGGUGCGUCUUUGACUGCUGACACUAUUUUUUGUGGCUAUAUUAUGAAAAUGCAAAGAGGAAACGUUAUAACCUAACCUAAAACUACGCACUUUAUGCGGCACGCAAAAGAGUUUGUAGUUAUUUUUAGGAGUUGUCACUUAAUCGGAUAUUGAGCAACACAUGUCUGAUUGAGAAACGUUUACUCUUACGCUCACGCUUUACCCACUUCAUUUCGUUUUAUAAUUCGCAAAAUCAUCCCGCCGCUUGCUUGGUAGUUCUGUGAUGGAGCAGAGAAAAGCUCCCAAUAUGCUCAUGCAAGUGCCUAAUACUUUUUCUUGUUAUUGUCUUCCAGGUAUUACUCUAGCUAGCAGCCAGGCUCAAGAUGGUCGUGUACAUGAGUUUCUUCUCACCCCUGGAGCCAGAAGCUCCAAAUCUGUGGCAAAAGUCAGCACGCAGUAAAGAAGUUUUGAUAGUGGAGAUCCCAUCCUUUACAACGGGGAGGAAUAUGUAUCAUUUUAGGAUCAGGAGUGACCCGUAAACCAGCAUACGAGAGGACAGCAUACUACAACAAAGUCUAUGAAUACCAUAAGGAAGAAGCGGGAUGGCUGUUUAACACCCAAAACCUGGACGAGGAACAUGGCCCUGGCGCGUCAUCAUCCCGGCAUACCUUGUAUGAGCCUCCAAGCAAACUUUGUUUGUAAUACAGGUUAAAGUUUGUAUUAAUUGUAGUAUACUUUUAUGUAUUGUUGUAUUUCAAAUAGAAAGUUUCACUGAUACUCUAUACACGAUGACAGCUGUGCUUGUUGUGACUGUUUACGGAAGUCACAUUAACCAGGCGAAAAUGUAAAUAAAUUUCAAAGACUAUGAUAUUCAUAUCGUAUUUAAUUGACCCAAAGUGAACACGGUAACAAGAUAAAGUAAGCUUAAAUAUUUCACUGAAUGCAUCAAAUCAC